GAUGAACGCUGGCGGCGUGCCUAAUACAUGCAAGUCGAGCGAACAGACGAUGAGCUUGCUCCUCUGACGUUAGCGGCGGACGGGUGAGUAACACGUGUAUAACCUACCUAUAAGACUGGGAUCACUUCGGGACACCGGAUCUAAUACCGGAUAAUAUCUUGCACCGCAUGGUUCGAUGGUGAAAUACGGUUUUGCUGUCACUUCUCGCUGGUUCCGGGCCGCCUGAGCUAGUUGGUAAGGUAACGGCUUACGAAGGCGACGAUGCGUAGCCGACCUGAGAGGGUGAUCGGCCACACUGGAACGGAGACACGGUCCAGAGGCCUACGAGAGGCAGCAGUAGGGAACCUUCCGCAAUGGGCGAAAGCCUGACGGAGCAACGGCGCGUGAGUGAUGAAGGUCUUGGGAUCGUAAAACUCGGUUAUUAGGGAAGAACCAAUGUGUAGGUAACUAAGCACGGCUUGACGGUACCUAAUCAGAAAGCCACGGCUAACUACGUG
rnacentral:rRNA from 1 species